GACGAACGCUGGCGGCGUGCUUAACACAUGCAAGUCGAGCGGUAAGGCCCUUUCGGGGGUACGACGAGCGGCGAACGGGUGAGUAACACGUGGGUGACCUGCCCUCAGCUCUGGGAUAAGCCUGGGAAACCGGGUCUAAUACCGGAUAUGACUCCAUGACGCAUGUUGUGGGGUGGAAAGCCUUGUGCGGCUGAGGAUGGGCCCGCGGCCUAUCAGCUUGUUGGUGGGGUGAUGGCCUACCAAGGCGACGACGGGUAGCCGGCCUGAGAGGGCGACCGGCCACACUGGGACUGAGACACGGCCCAGACUCCUACGGGAGGCAGCAGUGGGGAAUCUUGCGCAAUGGGCGAAAGCCUGACGCAGCGACGCCGCGUGAGGGAUGACGGCCUCG
rnacentral:rRNA from 1 species